rnacentral:rRNA from 1 species
AUUGAAUGCUGGCGGCAUGCCUUACACAUGCAAGUCGAACGGCAGCACGGGUGCUUGCACCUGGUGGCGAGUGGCGAACGGGUGAGUAAUACAUCGGAACGUACCUUAUCGUGGGGGAUAACGCAGCGAAAGUUGCGCUAAUACCGCAUACGCCCUGAGGGGGAAAGCGGGGGACCGUAAGGCCUCGCGCGAUUAGAGCGGCCGAUGUCUGAUUAGCUUGUUGGUGAGGUAAAAGCUCACCAAGGCGAUGAUCAGUAGCUGGUCUGAGAGGACGAUCAGCCACACUGGGACUGAGACACGGCCCAGACUCCUACGGGAGGCAGCAGUGGGAAUUUUGGACAAUGGGGGCAACCCUGAUCCAGCAAUGCCGCGUGAGUGAAGAAGGCCUUCGGGUUGUAAAGCUCUUUUGUCAGGGAAGAAACAGCAGCUCUAACACAGUCUGCGAAUGACGGUACCUGAAGAAUAAGCACCGGCUAACUACGUGCCAGCCGCCGCGGUAA